AUGCAGGAUCUUCUUGCUCGUGCGGCUCUUAGUGAUGAGCACACUGUUGAAACUCCUAUGGAGCUUAAUGUUCACCUUCAUGCUUCUGAUGGUGGGCCCUUGUCUGAUCUGACUUGUUAUCGUCAUCUUGUUGGGAGUAUCAUCUAUCUCGCUGUCACUCGUCCAGAUAUUUCCUAUCAUGUCCAUAUCCUGAGUCAGUUUGUUUCUUCUCCCACUUUGGUUCACUAUAGUCACCUUCUUCGUGUUCUACGAUAUCUUCGUGGCACGAUCUCUCAUCAUCUCUUCUUUCCUUGUUCCGGCUUGUUACAGCUCCAGGCCUAUUAG
rnacentral:rRNA from 1 species